CUUAGAGUCUUACAAUUAUCUUCAUAAUAAAAUAAAAUAUGUAAUAUUUUCGCAGGAUACUAGAAAAUAUGUCUAGAACAUAUUAUUAAACUCAACCCUGAUGUCACAAUAUCAGAGCCUAGAACUCAAUUUAAACAUAAACAAUAAUCCAACAAACUUUAAAGAACAACAUAAUAUAGUUGAGAGUAUAAUUUUCUACUUUAAUCUCGGACACAAAAAACUUGAUACUACUCCUCAAUAUUGUCACAGGGAUUAAAACCUGCAUAUAAUGAAUAGAAAAGAAACAUGUAGAAAAUAGGCAGUGAGCUAUGUUAUACGACACUUAAAGUGGUACAUCAAUAUCAAUUCAUAGAAACAAAUACAAGAAUAGACAUUUAUCAUUGCAAACCAUUUGAGGUGUACAUAUAAUUAAAAGACACAUAUAUCACUUGAAUCAUUCCUACACAUCUACUACAUGUAUGCCAUAUCAAUAACUCAUACUUAAUAAAUUAUAAUAGGGGGAUAAUGGAAGUAAAAGAAGAACACCGCCGAUGAACUUUAAAUUAUCAAACUCUCACUGAUAUUAGAAUAUUAGAUGACUAGUCAGAGUUUUUGGGCUUUAUAAAUAUGCCAUAACAUCAAGUAAUCAUAAAUAGUAUUAUUAUGUAAACUAUGAAUAUGUUGAAGAUGGUUUACAAGUAUAAAAAUUGACUAAGGUUGUGGAUAAGAAUGAAUACGGUAACAUGACUAUAUCGUUCAAACAAAAAUGACUAGUUCGUAAUUUUUAUGGAUGAAGUUACUCUGAAUUAGAUAGAUUGUUGGUGGAGAAUUCAAUGAUGAUUCAUUGAUGUUACGCCAUUAUAUUGUGUAUGGAUGCACAAGGUUGAUUAUUGGUCCCAUAUUUUUAAAAAAUAUACUAUCAUUAUUUUGAACAUGGCUAGAUGACACUAUAUAUAGUGGUCUAUUUUUGCCCAAAAUAUGGACUUUAAUAGACUUAUAAAAUUUAGAAACCAGAAGAAUGCCAUUUUCACAUUGUUAGCAAGAGCAUUUUUGGAAUCAUUAUUUAUCAGUUUCAUUGUUAGGAUUUAGUUUAGCAUGCAUCAAAUAGAUAGGAAUAAUAUGAAAGAAACUUUAAUGAGGAUGUAUGAUAUGAUUGAGUCGAGGAUAAAUAAUGUUUAUUUGUGUGUUUUACUUACUUCCAUCCCAUUAUUAUGAUAUUUAUAGAGUUUUAGUCCUGUUUAAAAUGAGUACCCUUUAUGGGGCUUUGAAUUUUACAAUAUUGUUAGAGUACCCCCUGUACUCCUUUUUCAAUUAUAUAUAUAAUAUGGUUCUAUUGCGAUCAAAGAAAUUGCAAGGUCAGAUAAUUAAAUAAAAUUUUGGGACAAAUUAUAAUAGGAACAAUAUUAUAAUGAGAAAUAAAAUAAAAGGGCUUAGCCCAAUGGAGAAAUAUUUGUUUACCCUACCCAGUAACGCCCACACAAUAACCGCUAACGCACUUCAAAAGAUGUUCAUAAGGACCGGGAUAUUUUUUCUGACAAUCGGCGUCAGUAACACACUCUCCUGCAAUGUAAAAUAAGGAUAAAGAAGUAUUACUAUCUAUGAGUAAAAUAUUGUGUCUAAGAUAAAAAAAAAAAAAUGAGAAUGAGCUUACUUUCAUCCUCAAUUACAACAAGAAACAAAGAAACAUAAAUGAUCGCAAUAUAAAAAAUCUUGAGA
rnacentral:lncRNA from 1 species